rnacentral:tRNA from 2 species
CGAGAAGUAGCACAAUUUGGUAGUGCACUAGGUUUGGGACCUAGGGGUUGCAGGUUCAAAUCCUGUCUUCUCGACCA